GUAGGUGUACCCAAGUGGUGAAGGGGGCAGUUUGCUAAACUGCUAGGUCGAGUAAUCGGCGCGGAGGUUCGAACCCUCUCACCUACG
rfam:Clostridium sp. 27_14 Ley3_66761_scaffold_1096, whole genome shotgun sequence.